CAAGCGGUGGAGCAUGUGGUUUAAUUCGAAGCAACGCGAAGAACCUUACCAGGCCUUGACAUCCCAAGGAAAGCCCCUUAAUCGGAGCCCCUCUUCGGAGUCUUGGAGACAGGUGGUGCAUGGUUGUCGUCAGCUCGUGUCGUGAGAUGUUGGGUCAAGUCCCGCAACGAGCGCAACCCUUGUCCGUAGUAGCCAGCAGUAAGAUGGGAACUUUACGGAGACUGCCGGGGACAACCCGGAGGAAGGUGGGGAUGACGUCAAAUCAUCAUGCCCCUUACGGCCUGGGCGACACACGUGCUACAAUGGCGUAACAAAGGGAAGCGAGCCCGCGAGGGGGAGCAAACCCCAAAAAUAGCGUCCCAGUUCGGAUUGUAGUCUGCAACUCGACUACAUGAAGCUGGAAUCGCUAGUAAUCGCGAAUCAGAAUGUCGCGGUGAAUACGUUCCCGGGUCUUGUACACACCGCCCGUCACACCAUGGGAGUCGGUAACGCCCGAAGUGCGUGACUCAACCGCAAGGAGAGAGCGCCCGAAGGCGGGACUGAUAACUGGGGUG
rnacentral:rRNA from 1 species